GUGGCAUUUUUAGUGGCAUGUUGAGAUGCCACGGCAUCUUCACCGUUAGCAGUGGCAUUUGUAGUGGCAUGUUGAGAUGCCACGGCAUUUUUAGUGGCAUGUUGAGUUAACAGCGGCAUUUUUAGUGGCAUGUUGAGUUAACAGUGGCAUUUUUAGUGGCAUGUUGAGAUGCCACGGCAUCUUCACCGUUAGCAGUGGCAUUUGUAGUGGCAUGUUGAGUUAGCAGUGGCAUUUUAGUGGCAUGUUGCGUUAGCAGUGGCAUUUAUAGUGGCAUGUUGCGUUUGCAGUGGGAUUUUUAGUGGCAUGUUGAGUUAGCAGUGGCAUUUUUAGUGGCAGGUUGAGAUGCCGGUGGCAGGUUGAGACGCCAAGAUUUUUCCUGAGAUGCCACGGCAUCUUUCGCCGUUUAUAUGGUAUUUCUGGUUGCGGCCUGAGAUGCCACAAAUUUACUAGACCGAUUAUGGGGUAGAACGGUGGCAAACAAGGGCUGCGUCCGAAAUCACCCACUGCUCAACAUAUACAACCAAACCAGUAGCCUGUCGUAAUGUAGAGGAAAAGAGCAUAUCCGACUACAACUGCUGGUGUUUGUAGCAUUUGCUAGAUCUGGAGAAAAACCUGCUAAGUGGGCAUGUUCUGUCUAACAAAAUGUAUCUGUGGAAACACAAAGGAUUUGAUCCACUCCUCAGAAAACAUUACAGCAAACAUGUGACUUUAUUCAAUGACAUGAAGAAUAUGUGCUUCUAACCACCACACCUUCAAAGAAAAAGAAAGGAGCUGCAAGAAAUGAAACAGAGACCACCGCUGAUGAAACAGAGACCACCGAAGAGGAAAACCUUCUGAUCCUACAUAGCCUGGCUGCAGCUGACUGGUGCAAUCAGGCAACAUUCAGUGGAAGACUGAAACUCCCUGCUGUCCUUUCAAUGGACAGAGAAGAAAGAAAAGAGGCCAUCCAGGAGAUGGACACCUGGGAUGGGGAACUGGAUCAGGAUUCUCCAGCAGAACUCUUCACAUUUGUUUUUGAAAAAAAAAAAAAAGACAACUUCUAUGAACAAUGUGUGGAUAAAAAAUGUUUUAGACUGUUUACAAGAUUUGAAAAACAGUGAUUGUUUAAAUAUUUUUUGUGUGUUAAAUUAAAGAGUUUGUUCCUAAAUACAGCCUAGUAAUUCAUACCAAGACCUUUGCACAUGGUUUUACAUUAGAGUCCUGUGAUGCACAGAUAAAUAUAAAUAUCACCUAGUAUAGUAAGCUAUAAAUGUUGAGGGUGUUUAGUGAAUAAUUUUGGAUAGGUCAACUGUUAUAAAAUCUUGUUUAAUUUACAAUCAGAAAGGGACAGCUGCCACAGGGGGCCAGUGGCAAUUG